rnacentral:rRNA from 1 species
AGAGUUUGAUCAUGGCCCAGGAUGAACGCUGGCGGCGUGCCUAACACAUGCAAGUCGAACGAGGUAAAUAAGAUGAAGUUUUCGGAUGGAUUCUUAUUUACCGAGUGGCGGACGGGUGAGUAACGCGUGGGUAACCUGCCUCAUACAGGGGGAUAACGGUUAGAAAUGACUGCUAAUACCGCAUAAGCGCACAGUACCACAUGGUACAGUGUGAAAAACUCCGGUGGUAUGAGAUGGACCCGCGUCUGAUUAGCUAGUUGGUGAGGUAACGGCCACAAGGCGACGAUCAGUAGCCGACCUGAGAGGGUGACCGGCCACAGUUGGGACUGAGACACGGCCCAGACUCCUACGGGAGCA